UUUCUCACCAUCCUCUAUCUUUCUAAAUAUUCUGUUUUCUUUUAUUUUAUUUAUAUUAGUUUUAAAUAAUAAUAAGGCUUUGCUCUGUUUUAAGUAUUUUAAUUCCCGAUCACCGCUAUCCUUUCCGAUUGAUCUGAGUCCCAUAACGCAUGUCAGGGCUCUGCCCGACUAAGUUCGUUGGGAUUCUGUCUCGGGACAUCGGGACAAGGUUGAUUUAGGGGUACUAUACUUACCACGAGUGCAUUAUAUAUUUUUAAUAGCUCAGAAGUUAUACCCAAAAUUUAUACCAGGAGUCUUUCUAGUUGAACCCUAAAGUUACACAGUGGGUCCAUUCCUUUUUCUCACCAUUUUAUUCUCUUUUUGUAAUUUACCCAAAACUAUUAUUUAUUAUUCUAUUCUCAUCAAAAUUCAUGCCUAUUAUUUUAUUUACCCAAUAGGAAACCAUAGUUUAGACACCCAAGUAAUCCUGCACAACUCCUAAAAAUUUCAUAACAAUCAGAAUUGGGAUCAGGGCCCCUAAAACUCAGAGGGGGCAAUCCCCAUUCGAUAUUAUCUUCAAAAUCUGUUGUCAAAAUUUAAUUUUAAUAUUUCAUCGACUCAGCAAGCCUACACCCACACGUGGCCACCCUAUAGUGAAAAUGUGUCCCUUACGGACCGUAAGGGAUUAGGCUUACGGUCCGUAAGCAUGUCCAAUUUUUGUGUAUAAAUAGCAGACAUUGGCACUCGAUUUUGGACACUGAAACGACUUAAAAACUCCAAAUAUACGCUGAGAUAUUCUCUGAUUACUACCAAACACACACUAGCUCGAAUUCUGCUACGAUACAGGGUAUUAACUCGAUCGCUAUUACGAUUCAUUUUCCGACCGAUCAAUAUAUCCAAUGGAUGUUUAAGUGCCGCCCACAUUAGGGUUAUACUUUGUCGUUCGUCGUUAAUUCGAUGGAUGUUUAAGUAUAGCACUUUGUCGUUCGUUGUGAGAAUUUGAUCUCGUGAGUUAUCGUAAUUGUUGUAUUAAGUUACCUACCUAGUUCGUGUGCACUAGGUUACAAGGCUAAAUCAAUAGGCUAAGCUCUGCCGGUUUAAAUCUGCAAUAUAUCAAGGCUUAUCUGUAGACUAAACUUUGGCCGUAUGAAUCUGCAUGAUUAUAAUGUAAUUACAGUAGAUUGGAGUAAGGAUUGGAUCCGGCACUAAAAGACUUCAAGAAGUGGCUUAUUUUAUUAAUUAAAUCAAAUUAAGAAAUAUUGUUUUAUGUAAAUCAAAUUUAUCUUUAUUAAAGCUACCAUUAUAAAACAUGGGUUUAUCCCAUCUAUUUA
rnacentral:lncRNA from 1 species